GGUAGUCAAAGAAAAAUACAAGGUGAGGGAGAGAUUACUCUUUGACAAAUUGUGAGUAAUUUAUCCAACAACCAAUGCGAAUUAGCCACAUAAUUAAACUUGCAUGCGGCACCCACAAAGUAGCUUUUCCUUCACUUGCAAAUCUGCUUAUAUGACUAAUUUUUAUUGGUUUUUGGGUAAACUACACAAUUUUUUAAGGGUAGUGUAGAAAAAAUCAAAAUACAAUCAUCACAUAUAAGAUUAUUUCCUUAAUAGAGUUUAUACCAUAGUAAACAGCUGCCAAGAAACAGAUUACCUUUUUUUUCCCCUUCAGUUCGAUCCCAGGAUAAACAUAUAAUAAUAUAAUGUAAACA
rnacentral:lncRNA from 1 species